UCCUACGGGAGGCAGCAGUAGGGAAUCUUCCACAAUGGACGAAAGUCUGAUGGAGCAACGCCGCGUGUGUGAUGAAGGGUUUCGGCUCGUAAAACACUGUUGUAAGAGAAGAAUAGCAUUGAGAGUAACUGCUCAGUGUCUGACGGUAUCUUACCAGAAAGGAACGGCUAAAUACGUGCCAGCAGCCGCGGUAAUA
rnacentral:rRNA from 1 species